GAGGGUGGUGAUGAGUCUAUCAGUAUAUUAAGGGUGGUGAUGAGUCUAUCAGUAUAGUAGAGGGUGGUGAUGAGUCUAUCAGUAUAUUACAGGGUGGUGAUGAGUCUAUCAGUAUAGUAGAGGGUGGUGAUGAGUCUAUCAGUAUAUUAGAGGGUGGUGAUGAGUCUAUCAGUAUAUUAGAGGAGGGUGAUGAUGAGUCUAUCAGUAUAUUAGGGGGGGUGGUGAUGAGUCUAUCAGUAUAGUAGAGGGUGGUGAUGAGUCUAUCAGUAUAGUAUAGGGUGGUGAUGAGUCUAUCAGUAUAUUAGAGGGUGGUGAUGA